CUAAUAACAACCUUCUUGAUAUUUCAGUUAUCUAACAAUUCAGAAUCUUCUUUAGAUAAGUACAAAUUUGGAUCAAAUAUUUCUCACGUUUACCUUUUUAACAUAAUCACGAUUAGAUUUACGCUUGUACAUUUAUAUAUUGACAUUCUGCUUUCUCUGUGUCUAUAUAUAUUCCAAACUUUCUCUGGAAUACAAACUAAUACAUAGCCCAAAUCUCUAUCUAUAAUUAUAAGCCACACACAUAUGUUUUUAUAUUUACUAUAGCAUUUUCAAUUUCACUGGACGAGUAUCAGGAUCAGGCGUGUAUUUGUUGGCAUAUGUUCUCAGAUCAAGAUAACACACAAAUCUGUGUUUUAGCUUUUACGUGAGAUCUGACGGUAGAUGUGUUUGCGUGCAAAAUACCAGAAAAGAUCUUCCAAAAGCAGCAUUCAUCAAAAAUGAUAGAGGAGCUUGAAGAAAUAGAGAAAACAAUGAAAGCUAUUUUUUCCUUACAAUAGCUCGGUGUAAAAAAUAAUCUCUCAUUUUCUGUAUUUUAUAUUUAUUUACUGUGAUUUUUAAGACGUUAUUAUAAUUUGUUAGGUGGUUUCGUCUUUGAUUGUUAAAAAUAUGGUUAUUUUAGUUGUUACAAAAUAUAUCCAAUAAUCAUUUUAACAGGAUUUGUAUUCAACUAACCAGUUUAUUAUGA